AGAGUUUGAUCCUGGCUCAGAUUGAACGCUGGCGGCAGGCUUAACACAUGCAAGUCGAACGGUAACAUGGGUGCUUGCUCCUGGGUGACGAGCGGCGGACGGGUGAGUAAUGUCUGGGAAACUGCCUGAUGGAGGGGGAUAACUACUGGAAACGGUAGCUAAUACCGCAUAAUGUCCACGGACCAAAGCGGGGGACCUUCGGGCCUCGCACCAUCAGAUGAACCCAUAUGGGAUUAGCUUGUAGGUGAGGUAACGGCUCACCUAGGCGACGAUCUCUAGCUGGUCUGAGAGGAUGACCAGCCACACUGGAACUGAGACACGGUCCAGACUCCUACGGGAGGCAGCAGUGGGGAAUAUUGCACAAUGGGGGAAACCCUGAUGCAGCCAUGCCGCGUGUAUGAAGAAGGCCUUAGGGUUGUAAAGUACUUUCGGUGAUGAGGAAGGUACUUGGUCUAAUAGGCCAAGUAAUUGACGUUAAUUACAGAAGAAGCACCGGCUAACUCCGUGCCAGCAGCCGCGGUAAUUC
rnacentral:rRNA from 1 species